rnacentral:rRNA from 1 species
UACGUAGGGGGCAAGCGUUGUCCGGAAUUACUGGGCGUAAAGGGUGCGCAGGCCGCGCGGGCAGUCAAAUGUGUAAUUCAGGGGCUCAACCCCUGCACUGCGCUUGAUACUUCCGCGCUAGAACCUUGGAGAGGAGUCUGGAAUUCUCGGUGUAGCAGUGAAAUGCGUGGAUAUCGAGAAGAACACUAAGGGCGUAAGCAAGACUCUGGACAAGUGUUGACGCUCAUGCACGAAGGCUAGGGUAGCGAACGGG